UACGUAGGGCGCAAGCGUUGUCCGGAAUUAUUGGGCGUAAAGAGCUCGUAGGCGGCCUGUUGCGUCCGCUGUGAAAUCCCGGGGCUCAACCCCGGGCCUGCAGUGGAUACGGGCUGGCUAGAGGCAGGCAGGGGAGAACGGAAUUCCUGGUGUAGCGGUGAAAUGCGCAGAUAUCAGGAGGAACACCGGUGGCGAAGGCGGUUCUCUGGGCCAAUACUGACGCUGAGCCGCGAAAGCGUGGGGAGCGAGCCGG
rnacentral:rRNA from 1 species